rnacentral:rRNA from 1 species
GACGAACGCUGGCGGCGUGCUUAACACAUGCCAGUCGAACGGAAAGGCCUGCUUUCCCUUGUGGAUUGCGGGUACUCGAGUGGCGAACGGGUGAGUAACACGUGAGUGAUCUGCCCCCAACUUGGGUAUAAGCCUGGGAAACUGGGUCUAAUUCCCGAUAGGACUGCAGGGUGGUGCCUGUGGUGGAAAACGAUUUUCUAGUGGUUGGGGAUGAGCUCGCGGCCUAUCAGCUUGUUGGUGGGGUAAUGACCUACCAAGGCGGCGACGGGUAGCCGGCCUGAGAGGGUGGACGGCCACAUUGGGACUGAGAUACGGCCCAGACUCCUACGGGAGGCAGCAGUGGGGAAUAUUGCACAAUGGGCGGAAGCCUGAUGCAGCGACGCCGCGUGGGGGAUGACGGCCUUCGGGUUGUAAACUCCUUUCGACCGCGAGGAAGCCACCUGGUUGGAAGGGUGGUGACGGUAGUGGUAGAAGAAGCACCGGCUAACUACGUG